rnacentral:rRNA from 1 species
GACAGAGGAUGCAAGCGUUAUCCGGAAUGAUUGGGCGUAAAGCGUCUGUAGGUGGCUUUUAAGUCCGCCGUCAAAUCCCAGGGCUCAACCCUGGACAGGCGGUGGAAACUACCAAGCUGGAGUACGGUAGGGCAGAGGGAAUUUCCGGUGGAGCGGUGAAAUGCGUAGAGAUCGGAAAGAACACCACGGCGAAAGCACUCUGCUGGCCGACACUGACACUGAGAGACGAAGCUAGGGGAGCGAAU